AGAGUUUGAUCAUGGCUCAGGAUGAAUGCUAGCUACAGGCUUAACACAUGCAAGUCAAGGGGAAACGACAUCGAAAGCUUGCUUUUGAUGGGCGUCGACCGGCGGCACGGGUGAGUAACGCGUAUCCAACCUGCCCACCACUUGGGGAUAACCUUGCGAAAGUAAGACUAAUACCCAAUGACGUCUCUAGAAGACAUCUGAAAGAGAUUAAAGAUUUAUCGGUGAUGGAUGGGGAUGCGUCUGAUUAGCUUGUUGGCGGGGUAACGGCCACCAAGGCGACGAUCAGUAGGGGUUCUGAGAGGAAGGUCCCCCACAUUGGAACUGAGACACGGUCCAAACUCCUACGGGAGGCA
rnacentral:rRNA from 1 species